GUGUUUAAUGUCCCUAUAAGUUUGCUAUUGAGAUGUAGCUUAAAUUAAAUAGAUUAAAUACUUCAUUAUAAAUAGCACAAUAUUUAGAAUCUUGGAUCUGAAAAAAACAAUAAAAAUCGCUAGAACUGGGCUGUAAUGCGUUCUAGAUCCCUUUAUUUAACCCCACUCUAAAUCAGCUCAUUUAUAGCCCCCAACCUUGUGGGUUUUUUUUAUUAAAUUGUGCGGUUCUGGCACAAACAUUCCCAUUUUUUAAAAUUCAAAAUUAAACUUUUAUGAUUCAGAUAGUGCAUGUAUUUUUAAACAACUUUCCAAUUUACUUAUGUUAUCUAAUUUUCUCUUGUUAUCCAUUGUUGAAAGCAUACCUAGGUACUCCCAGUAGUACAUUGCUGCUCCCUCAAUAAAGUAUACCAAGAGAAUUAAGCUAAGUGUUAAAAUUGGAAGUAGGUUAAAAUUAUAUGCUCUAUCUGAAUCAGGAAAAAAAUGUCCCUUUAAGCUAUUGCAAUUUAUGCUAUUUUGUAACAGAUGUACAUUUGAACAAAGAUAUAAAUAUUUCAAACAAAA